rnacentral:lncRNA from 1 species
GAGAACCUUGUGUUAGUGGAGAACUUCCUCUGAGUGUAACUAGGAUGUAAUCAAAAUCUUUGAAUGACACAGCUAAAGCUUCUGAUGUUUCUCAUUGUGUGUCUGUUGCUUUUGAUUUCACAUUUUUAUAACUUUCUAACCCUUUCAAUAUUUUUACUCUUUGUUUUUUGAGGCUAUUUUUUGGUGGGUUUUUUUCUUUGUUUUAGAUCUAAAGACCUCACUAACAUCAGGUCUGAGAACAAAGAGCCUGUGGUGUCCUUGUUUGAUAUUUUCUUACUUACCCAAGGAGACAGGAGCAUCAAUCCUGUUAAGAGAUAUUCCUCUCCAUGUUAUGGUUCUUCCAAAUGUGUUUAGUAGCUAUACUGCAAAACUCUCCCCUCUCCUUGCACUAAUGUGGAAACAUCCCAAGCUUUGGCAUUGUUCCUUGCUGGCUCAGAGAGAAAGCAGAGGCAUUAUUCUCCUACAGAUAAAAAUUGAUUUAUAUAUUAGGGUUAAUAGCAAACCUUAUCAUCAGGAAAAACUUAUCAGCUUACAUUUCAAGUAAGUUAUUCAAAAAUAUUAACAGGCUCUCUAAGCUACUGCUGCCCUCUGCACUGAGGACUGACACAGCAGGACUGGGAUGAGACACAGUUGCCUUUCAGUCUUUCAGUCCAGAUCAAUUACCUUAUUGAGAAGCCACCAGCAAGAGUCCUGGGUUGUACAUCAAACUUCAACGGCAUAUGAAACAACCCUCUGGAAAAGAGACCGCCUGGAUAAGACCAGGACAUCAUCCUUUGCUAGGUGUUUGCUUGUUUGGCUGGUUUUCAAGAUGAACCACAGCCUGAUGCACUCAUUCCAGUGGGGUCACCAGCUAGCUGGAAACCCUUCAGCCUUUGCUGAUAGGGAGUCCUUGGCAAGGCUAUCUAAGUUUAGCAUUGGAACAGCAAACCCCUUCCUCAGGAGAGUCCAAACCUGCUCAUAG